rnacentral:misc_RNA from 1 species
CGAAAUGCGAUAAGUAAUGUGAAUUGCAGAAUUCAGUGAAUCAUCGAAUCCUUGAACGCACAUUGCGCCCGCCAGUAUUCUGGCGGGCAUGCCUGUCCGAGCGUCAUUUCAACCAUCAAGCCCCCGGGCUUGUGUUGGGGACCUGCGGCUGCCCGCAGGCCCUGAAAACCAGUGGCGGGCUCGCUGUCACACCGAGCGUAGUAGCAAUCACCUCGCUCAGGGCGUGCUGCGGGUUCCGGCCGUUAAACAGCCUUACAAAACCCAAGGUUGACCUCGGAUCAGGUAGGAAGACCCGCUGAACUUAAGC